UACGUAGGGCGCAAGCGUUGUCCGGAAUUAUUUGGGCGUAAAGAGCUCGUAGGCGGUCUGUUACGUCCGCUGUGAAAACCCAGGGCUUAACCCUGGGCUUGCAGUGGAUACGGGUAGACUAGAGGCAGGUAGGGGAGAAUGGAAUUCCCGGUGUAGCGGUGAAAUGCGCAGAUAUCGGGAGGAACACCGGUGGCGAAGGCGGUUCUCUGGGCCUGACCUGACGCUGAGGAGCGAAAGCGUGGG
rnacentral:rRNA from 1 species